rnacentral:rRNA from 4 species
UGCAAAAGAAGUAGGUAGCUUAACCUUCGGGAGGGCGCUUACCACUUUGUGAUUCAUGACUGGGGUGAAGUCGUAACAAGGUAACCGUAGGGGAACCUGCGGUUGGAUCACCUCCUUA